GUGUGGCGGGAUCCUGAGACGGGCUUAAAGUAAGAGUUUGCCCUUGUGCAGAGGGGCCGAGGAAAGUACAGGGGAGCUAUAGGAACUUCUCUGCAGAAAAACUUUCGGAUCUUUUGUGUUCCAACUCCGUUGAAUGUUUUCCUGGAGACUCCACUGAGACAUGGUCUGCACUGUCCAUCACUGUGGCCCCCAGCCUUUGACCAGAUGUGGUACACGCAGAGGACCCUUGUGCCUUGCUGCUUGUGGCCUGUCAAGUCUGUGCCAUCGUUAGUGCAUACCUUUUCCUGGAACUAUUGAGGAAAGAAUAUGUUUUCUCGUACUGAGUUUGCUGAGAAGACAAAAUGUUGGCAGCUAUCCUGUCACCACUGGAGAUCAGCCUGUCUGAGAAUGGAGCCACAACAGAGGAAAGCAGACAAGAUACAAGACAUGCAAACCAAUCCUUUAACAUUUGAGCUCCUGGAUCCAGCCAUGCCUGAGCCUGCAAUUUUUAGAAAAGUAUGAAGAGCAACAGAAGGAGGAAUUGACCACCAGGAGCUUGGAGGGAUACCAGCAUACUGAGUAUCUUCUCUCUCCUAAAAAGAUUUAGUACUAGAAAGCUGAAGUGAAGCCUCAUAUCCUUAAAAUUCAUUACAGCCAUAAAAAGCACCGCCAUAUUUUCAUGAGCUAUUAAAACAAACAGUUAAAAAUAAAGCCCAUUUGGUAUCCAAUAUCCUUCACACGAUCGUAUUUUUUCAUGUAUUUGUGAAGCAACAAACGUUGGCUAACUGCAAUACAUCUCCUUGUAACUGAUUCCAAUUUCCACAUUCUCUUUUGCAUCCUAAAAUAAUCUACAAUUUCUCUAGCCAUACAAUUUAUAAAUUACAUAGACUUCCA